rnacentral:rRNA from 1 species
GAUGAACGCUAGCGGCAGGCCUAAUACAUGCAAGUCGAACGGUGUCUUCGGACAUAGUGGCGCACGGGUGCGUAGCACGUAUGCAACCUACCUUACAUUGGGGGAUAGCCUUUCGAAAGGGAGAUUAAUACCGCAUAAGACAGUAGCUGGGCAUCCAGCAGCUGUUAAAGAUUUAUCGAUGUAAGCUGGGCAUGCGUCCAAUUAGCUAGUUGGUGAGGCAACGGCUCACCAAGGCAAUGAUUGGUAGGGGAACUGAGAGGUCAAUCCCCCACACUGGCACUGAGAUACGGGCCAGACUCCUACGGGAGGCAGCAGUAGGGAAUAUUGGGCAAUGAACGCAAGUCUGACCCAGCCAUGCCGCGUGCAGGAUGAAGGCGUUAUGCGUUGUAAACUGCUUUUAUACAGGAAGAAACGACUCUUGCGAGAGGCAUUGACGGUACUGUAUGAAUAAGCACCGGCUAACUCCGUGCCAGCAGCCGCCGCCGUAA